UGGAACGUAGCUAAAUCAAAGCAUCUCCCUUACACCGAGAAGACAUCUGUGAAACUCAGGUCGUUCCAA
rnacentral:tRNA from 1 species